GUUCAAACAGAAAAUGAAGAAUACCAUAGUACCAUUGAAUUGCAGCUUCUUAUUUUCUAUUUAAAUUUUUGGUAUAAUUUCUUUGCAUCAUGUUUAAUUGCAUUGUAUUGCACCAAAUUGCA